rnacentral:rRNA from 1 species
CUUGCCUUAAACUAUGUAUACUUGAUGGAGUUGGGCUCAACCCUGACUGUGUCGAAGCUAACGCGAUAAGUAUACCGCCUGGGGAGUACACUCGCAAGGGUGAAACUCAAAAGAAUUGACGGGGACCCGCACAAGCAGUGGAGUAUGUGGUUUAAUUCGAUGCAACGCGAAGAACCUUACCUGGGUUUGACAUGUAAGAGACCACUAUAGAGAUAUAGUUUUCCCGCAAGGGACUGUUACACAGGUGC